CUGUCCAACGUUAAUCGGGGCAGGGUGAGUCGACCCCUAAGGCGAGGCCGAAAGGCGUAGUCGAUGGGAAACAGGUUAAUAUUCCUGUACUUGGUGUUACUGCGAAGGGGGGACGGAGAAGGCUAUGUUGGCCGGGCGACGGUUGUCCCGGUUUAAGCGUGUAGGCUGGUUUUCCAGGCAAAUCCGGAAAAUCAAGGCUGAGGCGUGAUGACGAGGCACUACGGUGCUGAAGCAACAAAUGCCCUGCUUCCAGGAAAAGCCUCUAAGCAUCAGGUAACAUCAAAUCGUACCCCAAACCGACACAGGUGGUCAGGUAGAGAAUACCAAGGCGCUUGAGAGAACUCGGGUGAAGGAACUAGGCAAAAUGGUGCCGUAACUUCGGGAGAAGGCACGCUGAUAUGUAGGUGAAGUCCCUCGCGGAUGGAGCUGAAAUCAGUCGAAGAUACCAGCUGGCUGCAACUGUUUAUUAAAAACACAGCACUGUGCAAACACGAAAGUGGACGUAUACGGUGUGACGCCUGCCCGGUGCCGGAAGGUUAAUUGAUGGGGUUAGCCGCAAGGCGAAGCUCUUGAUCGAAGCCCCGGUAAACGGCGGCCGUAACUAUAACGGUCCUAAGGUAGCGAAAUUCCUUGUCGGGUAAGUUCCGACCUGCACGAAUGGCGUAAUGAUGGCCAGGCUGUCUCCACCCGAGACUCAGUGAAAUUGAACUCGCUGUGAAGAUGCAGUGUACCCGCGGCAAGACGGAAAGACCCCGUGAACCUUUACUAUAGCUUGACACUGAACAUUGAGCCUUGAUGUGUAGGAUAGGUGGGAGGCUUAGAAGUGUGGACGCCAGUCUGCAUGGAGCCGACCUUGAAAUACCACCCUUUAAUGUUUGAUGUUCUAACGUUGACCCGUAAUCCGGGUUGCGGACAGUGUCUGGUGGGUAGUUUGACUGGGGCGGUCUCCUCCUAAAGAGUAACGGAGGAGCACGAAGGUUGGCUAAUCCUGGUCGGACAUCAGGAGGUUAGUGCAAUGGCAUAAGCCAGCUUGACUGCGAGCGUGACGGCGCGAGCAGGUGCGAAAGCAGGUCAUAGUGAUCCGGUGGUUCUGAAUGGAAGGGCCAUCGCUCAACGGAUAAAAGGUACUCCGGGGAUAACAGGCUGAUACCGCCCAAGAGUUCAUAUCGACGGCGGUGUUUGGCACCUCGAUGUCGGCUCAUCACAUCCUGGGGCUGAAGUAGGUCCCAAGGGUAUGGCUGUUCGCCAUUUAAAGUGGUACGCGAGCUGGGUUUAGAACGUCGUGAGACAGUUCGGUCCCUAUCUGCCGUGGGCGCUGGAGAACUGAGGGGGGCUGCUCCUAGUACGAGAGGACCGGAGUGGACGCAUCACUGGUGUUCGGGUUGUCAUGCCAAUGGCACUGCCCGGUAGCUAAAUGCGGAAGAGAUAAGUGCUGAAAGCAUCUAAGCACGAAACUUGCCCCGAGAUGAGUUCUCCCUGACUCCUUGAGAGUCCUGAAGGAACGUUGAAGACGACGACGUUGAUAGGCCGGGUGUGUAAGCGCAGCGAUGCGUUGAGCUAACCGGUACUAAUGAACCGUGAG
rnacentral:rRNA from 1 species